AUAUNGAGAUUUGGAAUGAAAGAUUGAAGAAGUAUGAAGAAGAGAUGAAGAUGAAGCAAAGCAAAGAAGCACCCUCUGAAUUUCAAGAGACCUUUAGCACCCGGGGAUAAACUCCUGAAAUGACAAAAGGACAGUAUCUAGUGGUUUUUGACAUUCAAAUAUGAAGUGGUUCAUUGAACUAUGUAGAUGAGAAAAGAGAUUACCCCCUUUCAGAUAUUGAUGACAAGGGAUGAUUAUUAACACUUCUCCGAGUUCAAAAGCUUUGGCUAGUGAAUUGAAUAUGGGUUUCUUCAUGUGAAUGAAGAGAAUGUUCUUGAAUAUUAUGCAAUGCAUUCUGUGAAAUGACAUUAAUUUUGAGUUAAUACUAUUCCUUUCAAUUUGAUUGCCGCCA